ACGUGAUCUGAGUUCAGACCGGAGUAAUCCAGGUCGGUUUCUAUCUAUAUCAGUGCCUUUUCCAGUACGAAAGGACCGAAAAAGCAUGGCCCAUGCCCAGCGUAAGCCAUCAUUAGUAACUUAUGAUAACAACUCAAUAUUAUACUAAACCCCUACACACCUCAAGAUAAGAGA
rnacentral:rRNA from 1 species